UCGGGAAUAUUGCGCAAUGGAGGAAACUCUGACGCAGUGACGCCGCGUAUAGGAAGAAGGUUUUCGGAUUGCAAACUAUUGUCGUUAGGGAAGAGAAAGGACAGUACCUAAGGAGGAAGCUCCGGCUAACUACGUGCCAGCAGCCGCGGUAAUACGUAGGGAGCGAGCGUUAUCCGGAAUUAUUGGGGUGUAAAGGGUGCGUAGACGGGAGAACUAGUUAGUUGUGAAAUACCUCGGCUCAACUGAGGAACUGCAACUAAAACUGUACUUCUUGAGUGCAGGAGAGGUAAGUGGAAUUCCUAGUGUAGCGGUGAAAUGCGUAGAUAUUAGGAGGAACACCAGUGGCGAAGGCGACUUACUGGACUGUAACUGACGUUGAGGCACGAAAGUGUGGGGAGCAAACAGGAUUAGAUACC
rnacentral:rRNA from 1 species